rnacentral:rRNA from 1 species
AAUAGAUACCCGGGUAGUCCACCCGUAAACGUUGGGAACUAGUUGUGGGGUCCUUUCCACGGAUUCCGUGACGCAGCUAACGCAUUAAGUUCCCCGCCUGGGGAGUACGGCCGCAAGGCUAAAACUCAAAGGAAUUGACGGGGACCCGCACAAGCGGCGGAGCAUGCGGAUUAAUUCGAUGCAACGCGAAGAACCUUACCAAGGCUUGACAUACACCAGAACACCCUAGAAAUAGGGGACUCUUUGGACACUGGUGAACAGGUGGUGCAUGGUUGUCGUCAGCUCGUGUCGUGAGAUGUUGGGUUAAGUCCCGCAACGAGCGCAACCCUCGUUCUAUGUUGCCAGCACGUAAUGGUGGGAACUCAUGGGAUACUGCCGGGGUCAACUCGGAGGAAGGUGGGGAUGACGUCAAAUCAUCAUGCCCCUUAUGUCUUGGGCUUCACGCAUGCUACAAUGGCCGGUACAAAGGGCUGCAAUACCGUGAGGUGGAGCGAAUCCCAAAAAGCCGGUCCCAGUUCGGAUUGAGGUCUGCAACUCGACCUCA